CAUUUUACAUUUGAGCUUGGCAGCGGUUAGUCGAUGGGCUGACCUCGGGAAGGAUUUCUGUUGAAGACUCGCUUCUCUUUGCCCCGGCUUGCCCUGUUUUCAAGUUGCGCCUGGGAUAUCUUCCCAAGAACUGGCUGUCUUCACCGAAGCCCUUUCCAGCCUCACUGUUGUGGCCUCUCCCGUUGCGGAGCACAGGCUCCGGAC